UACAGAGGGGGCAAGCGUUGUUCGGAAUUACUGGGCGUAAAGGGCGCGUAGGCGGCCGCCUAAGUCAGACGUGAAAUCCCUCGGCUUAACCGGGGAACUGCGUCUGAUACUGGAUGGCUAGAGAUUGGGAGAGGGAUGCGGAAUUCCAGGUGUAGCGGUGAAAUGCGUAGAGAUCCGGAGGAACACCAGUGGCGAAGGCGACACGCUGGGCCGUACCUGACACUGAGGCGCGAUAGCAUGGGGAGCAAACAGG
rnacentral:rRNA from 1 species